ACAUAGGAUUGAGGGUCGAGGACACCAAGGUGGAAGGGGCCCUAUGUUCACUCGUGCACAAGAGGCUGCCAUUGUGAACAUGGUUUUGACCAAUAAUUGUAUCAGGCUGUGAGAAAUCCAAGCCAAUAUCAUCAAUGAUGACCAUAUUUUCAAUAACAUCCAACGAGUCUCUCUGUCAACAUUAGGUCGAAUUCUCAAGAAAAAUCAAAUAUACAUGAAGCAACUGUAUCGGGUACCAUUUGACAGAAAUUCAGAGAGAGUGAAACAUCUGCGCAAUGAGUAUGUGGAGAGAGUCUUGCAAAUGGAUGCUGCAGAAAUUCAACAUGAAUUUAUAUAUGUGGAUGAGGCUGGAUUUAACCUUGCGAAAACAAGAGGGAGAAAUGUAAUUGGACACAGGGCAAUCACCAAUGUACCAGGGCAGCGAGGGGGUAACAUCACCCUUUGCGCUGCUAUUACACAAAAUGGGGUCCUCCACCACCAUGCAAAUCUGGGACCCUAUAAUGCAAAUCUAAUACUUGCAUUUCUUGACAGAUUGCACGAGAUUGUCACAGCAUUCAACCAAGUGGACCAGAUGCGGUACAUUGUCGUUUGGGACAAUGUCUCAUUCCAUCGGGCUGCUCUGGUCCACAAU